AUUGAACGCUGGCGGCAUGCCUUACACAUGCAAGUCGAACGGCAGCACGGGAGCAAUCCUGGUGGCGAGUGGCGAACGGGUGAGUAAUAUAUCGGAACGUGCCCAGUCUGGGGGAUAACGUAGCGAAAGCUACGCUAAUACCGCAUACGAUCUAUGGAUGAAANCGGGGAUCGCAAGACCUCGCGCGAUUGGAGCGGCCGAUAUCAGAUUAGGUAGUUGGUGAGGUAAAGGCUCACCAAGCCGACGAUCUGUAGCUGGUCUGAGAGGACGACCAGCCACACUGGGACUGAGACACGGCCCAGACUCCUACGGGAGGCAGCAGUGGGGAAUUUUGGACAAUGGGCGCAAGCCUGAUCCAGCAAUGCCGCGUGCAGGAUGAAGGCCUUCGGGUUGUAAACUGCUUUUGUACGGAACGAAACGGUGAGCUCUAAUACAGUUUGCUAAUGACGGUACCGUAAGAAUAAGCACCGGCUAACUACGUG
rnacentral:rRNA from 1 species